rnacentral:rRNA from 1 species
UGUAAAGUUCCUUCGAAGAGUCGAGUUGUUUGGGAAUGCAGCUCUAAGUGGGUGGUAAAUUCCAUCUAAAGCUAAAUAUUGGCGAGAGACCGAUAGCGAACAAGUACAGUGAUGGAAAGAUGAAAAGAACUUUGAAAAGAGAGUGAAAAAGUACGUGAAAUUGUUGAAAGGGAAGGGCUUGAGAUCAGACUUGGUAUUUUGUAUGUUACUUCUUCGGGGGUGGCCUCUACAGUUUAUCGGGCCAGCAUCAGUUUGGGCGGUAGGAGAAUUGCGUUGGAAUGUGGCACGGCUUCGGUUGUGUGUUAUAGCCUUCGUCGAUACUGCCAGCCUAGACUGAGGACUGCGGUUUAUACCUAGGAUGUUGGCAUAAUGAUCUUAAGUCGCCCGUCUUGAAACACGGACCAAGGAGUCUAACGUCUAUGCGAGUGUUUGGGUGUAAAACCCGUACGCGUAAUGAAAGUGAACGUAGGUGGGGGCCCGUAUGGGUGCACCAUCGACCGAUCCUGAUGUCUUCGGAUGGAUUUGAGUAAGAGCAUAGCUGUUGGGACCCGAAAGAUGGUGAACUAUGCCUGAAUAGGGUGAAGCCAGAGGAAACUCUGGUGGAGGCUCGUAGCGGUUCUGACGUGCAAAUCGAUCGUCGAAUUUG